rnacentral:rRNA from 1 species
AGUGAACGCUGGCGGCAGGCCUAACACAUGCAAGUCGAGCGGCAGCGCGUCCGACCACCCUCGGGUGGUCGGAUGGCGGCGAGCGGCGGACGGGUGAGGAAUGCAUCGGAAUCUGCCUCGUUGUGGGGGAGUAACGUAGGGAAACUUACGCUAAUACCGCAUACGACCUACGGGUGAAGUAGGGGGACCGUUCGGGCCUCACGCGAUGAGAUGAGCCGAUGCCGGAUUAGCUAGUUGGCGGGGUAAAGGCCGACCAAGGCGACGAUCCGUAGCUGGUCUGAGAGGAUGAUCAGCCACACUGGAACUGAGACACGGUCCAGACUCCUACGGGAGGCAGCAGUGGGGAAUAUUGGACAAUGGGGGCGAACCCUGAUCCAGCCAUGCCGCG